AUUGAACGCUGGCGGAAUGCUUUACACAUGCAAGUCGAACGGUAGAGGGGGCAACCCCUCGAGAGUGGCGAACGGGUGAGUAAUAUACCGGAACGUGCCCAGUCGUGGGGGAUAACGUAGCGAAAGUUACGCUAAUACCGCAUACGAUCUAAGGAUGAAAGCGGGGGAUCGCAAGACCUCGCGCGAUUGGAGCGGCCGAUAUCAGAUUAGGUAGUUGGUGGGGUAAAGGCUCACCAAGCCAACGAUCUGUAGCUGGUCUGAGAGGACGACCAACCACACUGGAACUGAGACACGGUCCAGACUCCUACGGGAGGCAGCAGUGGGGAAUUUCGGACAAUGGACGCAAGUCUGAUCCAGCCAUUCCGCGUGCAGGAUGAAGGCCCUCGGGUUGUAAACUGCUUUUGUACGGAACGAAAAGGUCUCUCUUAAUACGGGGGACUCAUGACGGUACCGUAAGAAUAAGCACCGGCUAACUACGUGCCAGCCGCCGCCGUAA
rnacentral:rRNA from 1 species